ACACACAGGGCCUCAGGCCCACAACAACACAUGCCUAUCCGAAGCCCACAAGAACCUAACCUAAGUCUAAUCAGUCAAACUCUAGCUCGAGUCCUAACUCCUCUGAAGUUUAAAUAAUUAUUUCUAAUACUUCAAAAAUUAUAAAAAUAUUUCUGGAGAUCCUCUACCUCAUCCUUGUAUUAAUUAAAUUCAUUUUACUUAAUUUUUCUAAGCCUAUAAUAUUUUACAGAUUAGUCAGGUUACUAAACCAAGGUAAAAAUAAUGUAACUUGAGUUUAGGACUACCUUUACAAAUUUUGCUA
rnacentral:misc_RNA from 1 species